AUGGCAAGUAGUAGUUCUUCUGCAGGAGGUGACAAGGUGAAUAAGCUGGUGACCAUCCUGAGCAUCGAUGGCGGCGGUGUGAGAGGGAUCAUCCCAGCCACCGUCCUCGCCUUCCUUGAGAAGGAGCUCCAGAAACUGGACGGGCCGGAUGCUCGGAUCGCGGAUUACUUCGACGUGGUCGCCGGCACCAGCACCGGUGGCCUUUUGACGGUGAUGCUCACGGCGCCGGACAAGGAUGGACGGCCGCUGUUCGAUGCCAAGGAUCUGGCAAAGGACUCAAUCUUCUCCAAGAUCGGCACAGCUCUGGGGAUGGUGACCGGGCCCAAGUACAAUGGCAAGUACCUCCAAUCGUUGCUCCGUCGGCACCUCGGCGACACCAAGCUGGACGGGGCUCUCACCAGCGUGGUGAUCCCGGCCUUCGAUAUCACCCACCUGCAACCCACCAUCUUCUCCAGCUACCACCAGCUGAAGAACCAGCCAGCGAAGAACGCGCUCCUGUCAGACAUCGCCAUUGGCACCUCCGCCGCACCCACCUUCUUCCCGGCGCAUUACUUUGAGACCGAAGACGGCAAGGGCGGCACAAGGGCCUUCAACCUCAUUGACGGCGGCGUCGCCGCCAACAACCCUACACUAUGCGCGAUGAGCCAUGUGGCAGAGGACAUCAUCGUGGCUGGGAACGGUGACUUGCUUGGGAAGUCAUACAUGGUCAUCUCCAUCGGCUGCGGGACGUCUUCAAAUCCAAAAGGCAAGUAUAGUGCUAAGGACACCGCCCAGUGGGGCAUCCUGGACUGGAUCCUCAAGGGCAGCACCGUCCCGAUCCUCGACAUGUUCAACGCGGCUAGCGGCGACAUGGUCGACAUCCACCUCUCCAUCCUCUCCGCCGCCCUCGGCUCCUCCCAUCAAUACCUGCGUAUCCAGAGUACUGCCUGGCCUCUGCAUCAAUUGAUGUACACAACAAUUAUCUGCUACGGUCAACUAAGCGGAAGCGCAGGCUCAAUCGACGACUGCUCCAAAGCUAACUUGGAUAAGCUGGUGGAGAUUGGGAAUGAGCUUCUCGGGAAGAAGGUAUCUCAGGUGGACCUAGAGACAUGCCAGAAUGUGGAGGUACCCGACGAGGGUACCAACGCGGAGCAACUAGCUAAGUUUGCAAAGCAGCUCUCCCAUGAGAGGCGUCGCCGUCACAACGAACUAGCAACUACACAGACCUAG
rnacentral:rRNA from 1 species